AUGGCUCAGGAUGAACGCUAGCGGCAGGCUUAACACAUGCAAGGUCGAGGGGCAACGCGAGUAGCAAUACUUGGCGGCGACCGGCGCAAGGGUGCGUAACGCGUGAGCAACAUGCCCGUAUCAGGGGGAUAAUCCAGGGAAACUUGGUCUAAUACCCCAUAGUAAUUUUGUAAGGCAUCUUAUAAGAUUUAAAGCUUUGGUGGAUACGGAUUGGCUCGCGUGACAUUAGCUGGAUGGUAAGGUAACGGCUUACCAUGGCUAUGAUGUCUAGGGGUUCUGAGAGGAAGGUCCCCCACACUGGAACUGAGACACGGUCCAGACUCCUACGGGAGGCAGCAGUGAGGAAUAUUGGACAAUGGAUGGAAAUCUGAUCCAGCCAUGCCGCGUGAAAAGGAAGAAGGUCCUAUGGAUUGUAAACUUCUUUUGUAUGGGAGCAAUAAGGCCUACGAGUAGGCUGAUGAGAGUACCAUACGAAUAAGCACCGGCUAACUCCGUGCCAGCAGCGGC
rnacentral:rRNA from 1 species